GGACACUCACCAGUGAUGGGAGAGCUGUAGGCUGUGUGCUGCAGAGAACACACCCCAGCCUUCUCAUUAGUGGAGCACUCCACCUUGUUGCCAGGGGUGCAGUGAGUCAGAGGAAUAAGAUAACCAGAGGGAAAAAAAGUCUGAGAAAGAAAGAGACAGCACACCUUUAGCCCAAACAUGUAAUAAACAAACCCCAAAAGUUUUCUCCAAAACUGCAACCCUCCCUUGCCUUGUUCUUAUUCUUUAUCCUCCAUGUCCCCAGGAUGCCAUAUCCCAUGCCUGCACUACUUUCUGUCUGAAAUGAGACACAACAGACUCAAGGACAUGCUCUUUCAAUUAAAACCACACAGAAGUCAGCUGGCUCCAUUUCCAGCUGAUACUCUUGGUGGGGAACUAGAAAUCCACCUGGGAUUAACACAGUGCAAUUUGACCAGAUGGAAAAGAAACCCUGACACUAAAUACUAUUUUUCCAGAAGAAACAUUCUGGACCCAGUAAAUCAUCACAUCACCUCAUUCUUGGAUUGUAUUUUUCAUAAAGCAAAUAUUGAAUGACAAAACUUUUGCAUUUACAUAUUCUGUUUUUGUCAACAGAAGAACUGUUCUUUAUUCAGGUUCUCUACAGCAAUCAGUCUUAACUGCAGAAUACUGAACUUUACUGAUGAAAAGAUUUUCAUGUGAUUCUGUUUCAAAGCAUUUGAGAGUAAGUAUAUGCAAAGAAAGGAUGGGGGAAGUAAGGGAUCUCAAUAUUGCCCUCAGCUCCUUAGUGUGACCUUCAUUCCAAUGGAAGCCUGAAAGCCUCUUUAUAUCCUCUUUUUUGUGUACUCAAUGCAGAAACAGAAAUCCUACAUUCCUACAAAAUAUGGUCUUAAAAGCACACUAAAAUGAAUUCAGCCAAAGAUAACCUAUGUAGGUAUAGUUCACUGUAGUUUUGUUUCUUUUGCAGACUCCAAGUAGUGUUUACCCAGGGAAUGGCAAGACAAAUCUUACCUCAGGAGCAGGAAUGGCAAAUGCCACAGCCAAGAAUGGAUGCCAGUAAGUUUACAGAAUCCUAGAAUUCAAGGGACCUUGAAGAUCUCUUGCUUCCAGCCUUGCUCUCAACCUGACUUACUCCAAAAUCAUGUAUAAAUAGGUCUUUCUUCAGCUGCCAAGGAUUUUGUAGGCUCAUCCAGACCUCUCUGAGUGUCCCCUUCCUCAAUGGUUAUUUUAUUUAAUAUUUUUGAAUUAUUACUCUUAAUUCCAGUUACGUUAGCACAUGGCAG